GAUGAACGCUGGCGGCGUGCCUAAUACAUGCAAGUCGAGCGAACAGACGAGGAGCUUGCUCCUCUGACGUUAGCGGCGGACGGGUGAGUAACACGUGGAUAACCUACCUAUAAGACUGGGAUAACUUCGGGAAACCGGAGCUAAUACCGGAUAAUAUAUUGAACCGCAUGGUUCAAUAGUGAAAGACGGUUUUGCUGUCACUUAUAGAUGGAUCCGCGCCGCAUUAGCUAGUUGGUAAGGUAACGGCUUACCAAGGCAACGAUGCGUAGCCGACCUGAGAGGGUGAUCGGCCACACUGGAACUGAGACACGGCCCAGACCCCUACGGGAGGCAGCAGUAGGGAAUCUUCCGCAAUGGGCGAAAGCCUGACGGAGCAACGCCGCGUGAGUGAUGAAGGUCUUCGGAUCGUAAAACUCUGUUAUUAGGGAAGAACAAAUGUGUAAGUAACUAUGCACGUCUUGACGGUACCUAAUCAGAAAGCCACGGCUAACUACGU
rnacentral:rRNA from 1 species